GAGGUAUAGCUCAGUGGCAGAGUGUGUGCUUAGCAUGCAUGAGGUCCUGGGUUCAAUCCCCGCAGUACCUC
rnacentral:tRNA from 1 species